GAUGAAGAACGUAGUGAAAUGCGAUAAGUAAUGUGAAUUGCAGAAUUCAGUGAAUCAUCGAAUCUUUGAACGCACAUUGCGCCCGCCAGUAUUCUGGCGGGCAUGUCUGUUCGAGCGUCAUUACAACCCUCAGGCCCCCGGGCCUGGCGUUGGGGAUCGGCGGAAGCCCCCUGUGGGCACACGCCGUCCCUCAAAUACAGUGGCGGUCCCGCCGCAGCUUCCAUUGCGUAGUAGCUAACACCUCGCAACUGGAGAGCGGCGCGGCCAUGCCGUAAAACACCCAACUUCUGAAUGUUGACCUCGAAUCAGGUAGGAAUACCCGCUGAACUUAAGCAUAUCAAUAAGCGGAGGA
rnacentral:misc_RNA from 1 species